rnacentral:rRNA from 1 species
GACGAACGCUGGCGGCGUGCCUAAUACAUGCAAGUAGAACGAGUUGCGAACGGGUGAGUAACGCGUGGUAACCUGCCUCAUAGCGGGGGAUCACUAUUGGAAACGGUAGCUAAUACCGCAUACCAUCAGAUGUGCCCAGAUGGGAUUAGCUAGUAGGUGGGGUAACGGCUUAACUAGGCGCCGAUCCCUGGCUGGUCUGAGAGGAUGACCAGUCACACUGGAACUUAGAAACGGGCCAGACUCCUACGGGAGGCAGCAGUGGGGAAUAUUGCACAAUGGGAGCAAGCCUGAUGCAGCCAUGCCGCGUGUAUGAAGAAGGCCUUCGGGUUGGAAAGUACUUUAAGUGGGGAGGCGUUACCCGCAGAAGAAGCACCGGCUAACUCCGUGCCAGCAGCCGCGGUAAUAC